CGGGGACGGAAAGGGGCGAAACAAAAUAACAAUUUAGGUAUACGGUUUUUCCAUUAUUAUAAUUUUAUCAAAGCUGUAGAAAGAUAAGAUCGUGAUUUCGCUUUGAAGAACACCCACUGUAGAUAGACAAAGAGAAAGACCGAGAGAGAUACAGAUUUUCCUUUGUUAUCCGGAGCAAUUUGUGUGAACUCUAAUAUCCUCUCAAAAAACCUAAAACGGAAAAAGAAGGCCAAACAUAUUGACCUUUUGAUGUUCUUUUCAAGAAGGAUGAUCAAUGACACAUUUAGAUUGUUCUAGCAAUAUUAGUUACAUCAUUUUCCUAUUGUCUCUAACAAAAAAAGUCACUCAUGGGAGAGUUUAAGGAGUCAACGUAUUGGAAGAAAGUCAUUUGUUGUGAAUUGAAAAUGUAAUUUGUGGUUUAUCUCAUCGAUCUUGACGAGGUGUUGACUUGAGUUGACUUAAUGGCCGAAGAGCAAUUAGAUUAUGGAGAUGAAGAAUUCGGAGGGUCCCAAAAGAUGCAGUAUCAUGGAGAUGGAGCAAUUCCUGCACUUGCAGAUGAUGAAAUUGGAGGUGAAGAUGAUGAAUAUGAUGAUCUUUAUAAUGAUGUCAAUGUUGGAGAAGGUUUUUUACAAAUGCAAAGAUCUGAAGCACUUCCAUCUACAAACAUAGGAAAUGGAGGUUUCCAUGAUCAAAAAGUUAAUGUUCAAGAACCUCGAUCUGAAGCCAUGGUGUCACAAGAUAUAAACACAAACACAAACACAAACUCAAACACAAACAUAAACAUGAACAUACCUGGUGUUGCAAAUGAAAGCGCGUAUCCAAAAGAAGGUAUGACUGUUGAUCUUUUACAAAAAAGAAUGGCCCCACUUCCUCAAGUGAGUAAUGAUGUCCAGAUGGGUUUUCGUGGGCCCCAAAAGAUCCCCGUGGAUCCCGUUAACAUAACAAACGAGCCUCCUCCAUCUAUGCUAAAUUCCAAUCCUGGUCAUCAAAUGAACGUGACACGACCUGUCAUCACCGAGAAUCAAGCCCGUCCACCUGGCGAAACCGGUGCUACCACCCUGUUUGUUGGUGAGCUACACUGGUGGACAACAGAUGCUGAGCUGGAAAACGUGUUGUCACAAUAUGGAAGAGUGAAGGAGAUAAAGUUUUUUGAUGAGCGUGCGAGUGGGAAAUCAAAAGGGUAUUGUCAAGUUGAGUUUCAUGAGUCAGCAUCUGCUGCAGCGUGUAAAGAAGGAAUGAAUGGUUAUCUUUUCAAUGGAAGACCUUGUGUGGUGGCAUUUGCGUCCCCACAAACUAUUAGACAAAUGGGCGCUGCUUACGCGAAUAAAAAUCAAGGACCGGUUCAAUCUCAAGAAGCGGGGAGGAGACCGAUGAAUGAUGGAGGAGGACGUGGGGCUGGUGGCGGCGGCGCUGGUGGUGGUGGUGGUGGAGCGAACUUUUCCGGUGGAGAUUCCGGGAGGAAUUUUGGAAGAGGAAAUUGGGGGCGAGGAGGGCAGGGGGUGGGGAGGGGUGUUGGGAAUAUGAGGGGUAGAGGGGGGAUGGGGCCGAAGAAUGUGAACGCGGGUCCGGGUUUCGGAUACGCGGGACCCGGUUUCGCGGGUCCUCCGGGUGGGUUCAUGCAUCCGCAAGGUAUGAUGGGGGGCGGGUUUGACCCGACUUAUAUGGGUCGUGGCGGUGGGUAUGGCGGGUUUCCGGGUGGUGGUUUUCCGGGGAUGAUGCCGAAUUUUCCCGGGAUGGGGAUUGCUGGGGUGGCGCCGCAUGUGAACCCUGCUUUUUUCGGGCGGGGGAUGGGGGGGAUGAUGGGGGGUGGUGGUGGUGGGAUGGAGGGCCCACAAGGGGGGAUGUGGGGGGACACUGGGAUGGGUGGUCAAUGGGGAGGAGGAGGAGGAGGAGAAGAGCAUGGUCAAAGGACUAGAGAGUCAAGCUAUGGUGGUGAAGAUGGUGGGUCGGAAUACGGGUAUACGGAUACGGGUCAUGAGAAAGGGGCACAACGGUCAAAUCCCGGAAGAGAAAAGGAGAGAGGUUCUGAACGUGAGCGUGAACGUGAACGUGAAUGGUCUGGGAGCUCUGAAAAAAGACACCGUGAGGAGAGAGAUUAUGAAAAAGAUUAUAAAUAUAAAGAGGAAAAAGACACUAAUAAUAAUCAUAAUAAUAAUAAUAAUAAUAAUUAUAGGGAGCAUCAUCAUCGACAGAAGGAGCGUGAAGAUGAUUGGGAUCGCGGGCAGUCCUCCACCCGGUCAAGGAGCCGAUCUCGGGCAGCCCCGGAAGAGGAUCAUCAUCGGUCCCGGUCAAGGGAUGCGGAUUACGGGAAGCGCAGACGCAUGCGGUCAGAUUGAUGUGACAGUGGUGGAAUGGAGUGGAGGGCAAUUACGUCAUUCUUCAAACUCACUCGGCUGAUUGAAAAGGAACAGAAAUGGCAGAAAGCCUUCCUUUGGUUUGUGUGUUUGACCUGGACGAAGCUGACUUGAUUGAAUGAUUGGUUUCUAUAUAUAUACAUAUAUAUAUAUAUAUAUAUUGUAUUGUAUUGUGUUGUAAAAAGUAAAAGCAUCUCAUUUUUGUUGCAUUGCAUUGUUAUGGUGUCAUUUAGAAGCAUUAUCUAGGAUAGGAUAUAUGUAGUAAUAGUAUUGGGUAUGUCACCCAUUCCAUUCUUCUAUUUGGUUGUAACUUGCAUUGUAAUUUAUGCCCUCUUGUGUUUUUUUUUAGUCUCUCUGUAAGCUCCAAAACGGAGAUGUAAUGUCCAUGUGUAGAGAGAGAUGAUAUGCUAGCUGUUAGUUAUAGGUUGUCUUUAUGCUUUCGCCAGUUGCUUCUGUAUUUUAAAAGGGUGCUUCUGCAAUUGCAUGCUAUAUGUAGCUUUUUAGAUUUUCAAUGUAACAUUGUAACAUAGUGUUUAGUGAUACUGGACUUUGUUUUGUUGUAUUCUUGAUUAGGAAAGGAAAGCCAGUUUUGUACUAAUUAUGUUGUAAUUCCUGUAGAUUUCAGGGUUUUAUUUUUGAUCAUCCAAGAAUGUAUCCUAAUUCUUCUGUGUUUUCAUAUCAAGCCUGCUUAAUGUGUA